AGUUAAUGAGCUUGAAUAAGCAUGUAUUUUGAAAAUACAAGAUAUAUAUUUAAUAUUUAUUAGCUU
rnacentral:tRNA from 1 species